GUUUGGACGAUCAGAAGUCAUUGGUGAAGACAAGUGGUGUUUCUUAUUUAGCUCAAUUGUCAGUAGUUAUUGUAGGUAUAAACUUUGCUUUAGCAAAGGGAGCAACAGGUAUUUUGAGAUAUUUUAUGGCACUCAAAUGGAAAUCAUGCAAAUAAAACUGAAGUUGGCCAAUGAAGAUAACGCCAUUGCUGAAGUAAGGUCUCCC